rnacentral:rRNA from 1 species
UCAGGAUGAACGCUGGCGGCGUGCAUAACACAUCAAGUCGAACGGUGAAGGAAGCUUGCUUCCGGAGUCAGUGGCGGACGGGUGAGUAACGCGUGAGCAACCUGCCCUGCAUUGGGGGAUAACACAGGGAAACUUGUGCUAAUACCUCAUGACACAUACUUACCGCAUGAUAGGUAUGUCAAAGAGCGAUCGAUGCAGGAUGGGCUCGCGUAUGAUUAGGUAGUUGGCGGGGUAAGGGCCCACCAAGCCUGCGAUCAUUAGCCGAACUGAGAGGUUGAACGGCCACAUUGGAACUGAGAAACGGUCCGGACUCCUACGGGAGGCAGCAGUGGGGAAUAUUGGGCAAUGGGCGAAAGCCUGAACCCCCAGCGACGCCGCGUGAGGGAAGACGGUCUUCGGAUUGUAAACCUCUUUCAGCAGGGAAGAAGAAAGUGACGGUACCUGCAGAAGAAGUCACGGCUAACUACGUGCCAGCCGCUGC